GAUGAACGCUAGCUACAGGCUUAACACAUGCAAGUCGAGGGGAAACGAUAUUGGAAGCUUGCUUCCGAUAGGCGUCGACCGGCGCACGGGUGAGUAACGCGUAUCCAACCUGCCCAUCACUUGGGGAUAACCUUGCGAAAGUAAGACUAAUACCCAAUGACGUCUCUAGAAGACAUCUGAAGGAGAUUAAAGAUUUAUCGGUGAUGGAUGGGGAUGCGUCUGAUUAGCUUGUUGGCGGGGUAACGGCCCACCAAGGCGACGAUCAGUAGGGGUUCUGAGAGGAAGGUCCCCCACAUUGGUACUGAGACACGGACCAAACUCCUACGGGAGGCAGCAGUGAGGAAUAUUGGUCAAUGGGCGCGAGCCUGAACCAGCCAAGUCGCGUGAGGGAUGAAGGUUCUAUGGAUCGUAAACCUCUUUUAUAAGGGAAUAAAGUGGGAGUCGUGACUCUUUUUGCAUGUACCUUAUGAAUAAGGACCGGCUAAUUCCGUG
rnacentral:rRNA from 1 species